rnacentral:rRNA from 1 species
GUGGGGGGGGAAAUGGGAAUUCCUAGUUGUAGCGGGGAAAAGGGGUGGAUAUUUGGGGGGAAACCGGGGGGGGGAGGGGGACUUUUUGGACCUCCAACUGACGCUGAGGUAGGAAAAGCGGGGGGAGCCACCAGGAUUGGUUACCCUGGUAGUCCCCCCCCUAAACGAGGAGUGGUAGGGUUGGGGGUCAACCCUUGGUGCCGUCGUUAACACAGUAAGCACUCCGCCUGGGGAGUACGCGCGCAAGCGUGAAACUCAAAAGGAAUUGACGGGGACCCGCACAAGCAGCGGAGCAUGUGGUUUAAUUCGAAGCAACGCGAAGAACCUUACCAGGGCUUGACAUAUGGGUAAAAGAUCUAGAGAUAGAUCCCUCUCUUCGGAGAUAGCCAUACAGGUGGUGCAUGGUUGUCGUCAGCUCGUGUCGUGAGAUGUUGGGUUAAGUCCCGCAACGAGCGCAACCCUUGUCACUAGUUACCAGCACUUCGGGUGGGGACUCUAGUGAGACUGCCGGUGAUAAACCGGAGGAAGGUGGGGAUGACGUCAAAUCAUCAUGCCCUUUAUGUCCUGGGCUACACACGUGCUACAAUGGUCGGUACAGAGGGCAGCAAGACUGCGAAGUUAAGCGAAACUCAAAAAGCCGAUCCCAGUUCGGAUUGUAGGCUGCAACUCGCCUGCAUGAAGUCGGAGUUGCUAGUAAUCGCAAAUCAGAAUGUUGCGGUGAAUGCGUUCCCGGGUCUUGCACACACCGCCCGUCA